AGGGUUUGAUCCUGGCUCAGAUUGAACGCUGGCGGCAGGCCUAACACAUGCAAGUCGAGCGGUAGAGGGAAGCUUGCUUCUCUUGAGAGCGGCGGACGGGUGAGUAAUGCCUAGGAAUCUGCCUGGUAGUGGGGGAUAACGUUCGGAAACGAACGCUAAUACCGCAUACGUCCUACGGGAGAAAGCAGGGGACCUUCGGGCCUUGCGCUAUCAGAUGAGCCUAGGUCGGAUUAGCUAGUUGGUGAGGUAAUGGCUCACCAAGGCGACGAUCCGUAACUGGUCUGAGAGGAUGAUCAGUCACACUGGAACUGAGACACGGUCCAGACUCCUACGGGAGGCAGCAGUGGGGAAUAUUGGACAAUGGGCGAAAGCCUGAUCCAGCCAUGCCGCGUGUGUGA
rnacentral:rRNA from 1 species